ACGUAGGGUGCAAGCGUUGUCCGGAAUUAUUGGGCGUAAAGAGCUCGUAGGCGGCCUGUCGCGUCGGCUGUGAAAACCCAGGGCUCAACCCUGGGCCUGCAGUCGAUACGGGCAGGCUAGAGUCCGGCAGGGGAGACUGGAAUUCCUGGUGUAGCGGUGAAAUGCGCAGAUAUCAGGAGGAACACCGGUGGCGAAGGCGGGUCUCUGGGCCGGAACUGACGCUGAGGAGCGAAAGCGUGGGGAGCGAACAGGAUUAGAUACCCUGGUAGUCCACGCCGUAAACGUUGGGCGCUAGGUGUGGGGAACCUUCCACGUUCUCCGUGCCGCAGCUAACGCAUUAAGCGCCCCGCCUGGGGAGUACGGCCGCAAGGCUA
rnacentral:rRNA from 1 species